rnacentral:rRNA from 1 species
GUGCCAGCCGCCGCGGUAAUACGUAGGUGGCAAGCGUUGUCCGGAUUUACUGGGCGUAAAGGGAGCGUAGGCGGACUUUUAAGUGGGAUGUGAAAUACUCGGGCUCAACCUGAGUGCUGCAUUCCAAACUGGAAGUCUAGAGUGCAGGAGGGGAAAGUGGAAUUCCUAGUGUAGCGGUGAAAUGCGUAGAUAUUAGGAAGAACACCGGUGGCGAAGGCGACUUUCUGGACUGUAACUGACGCUGAGGCUCGAAAGCGUGGGGAGCGAACAGGAUUAGAUACCCCCGUAGUCC